CUGCAGCUCGAGUGGUGACCACUAUUAUUGGGCCUAAAACGUUCGUAGCCGGUUUGGUAAAUGCCUGGGUAAAUCGUGUAGCUUAACUAUACGAAUUCCGGGUAGACUGUCAAACUUGAGACCGGGAGAAGCUAGAGGUACUCCUGGGGUAGAGGUGAAAUUCUGUAAUCCUAGGGGGACCACCAGUGGCGAAGGCGUCUAGCUAGAACGGGUCUGACGGUGAGGAACGAAGCCCUGGGGCGCAAACCGGAUUAGAUACCCGAGUAGUCC
rnacentral:rRNA from 1 species